rnacentral:lncRNA from 10 species
UUCAAAUAUAGUACAUUGUACUAGAAGACUACAGUAAGUGUAUAAUUUCAUUUUUUUAAUGGCAGUGUCUCUCUCUGUGUCACCCAGGCUGGAGUGCAGUGGCAUGAUCAUGGCUUCCUGCAACCUCGACCUCCUGGGCUCAAGGAAUCCUCCCACCUCAGCCUCCUACACAGCUGGGAUUACAGGUGUGUGCCACCACCAGAAGCUAUAUAUUUUUUUUUUUUUUUGGAAAGUUGGAGUCUCACUGUAUUGCCAGGGCUGAUCUGUAUCUCUUGCCCUCAAGUGAUCCUCCUGCCUUGGCCUUCCAAAGUGCUGGGAUUAUAUGUGUUAACCACUGCACCUGGAAUAAUUUUUGAUGCAGAUGCAAACCUAAUGAAAUAUAAAAAGAUCAUUCUGUUACUGCUAAGAAUUGAGUGUUUCAAGUAAUAGUACUUAGGCUAAAUCAGUGUGGUAAGUGAUACUACUGGCCAUUUUUUGACACUCGGAAAAAAGGCCAGGUGGUUAAAAGGAAAAGCACAAAGCAACAACAAAGCAAUAAUUCUUAUAUA